GUUGGGUACCACCUUAAGAUAUCCCCUUUUAUCUUAAAAUCUUAAUGGAUUUAAAAUAUGAUCUGUUUUUCUGAAUGUAACUACUAUGAACUCUUUUUUUUUUUGCUGUAUACUAAUUUUAGUGGAAUUACUUUUCUAUAGGGGAACUUCAAAUGUUAAGUUCAUCUAUAGGAAAGUGUGCAGACGUUUGCAAAAUAUAAAAAAAAAACAUUUUCCAAAAUGCAAGUUUUCAUGAAUCCACGAAAAAUGGUACCCACAAAAAUACUAGAAUCCAUAAUAUAUUUUUACUUUAUAUGAGUUUACAUUUAUUGCUGCUUUUAAUUGUUGAUUUUUAAGGUUGUAAAUAUAGACUAUUAUUUGUGAUAUUUUUAUUGCUGAAAAUAUGUGUACUUAACAUGUACCCUUGAGAUGAAAUCAUUCCACGUUAGAUUGAUGAAAUAGGUCAAGUUUUUACUAUGUCAAAACAUUUGCCAAAAUAUUCAAAGGAGUAGGUUCAGUAAGACCCCUUUUUGGCCCCAAAAUAUAACAGUUUUACAAAACUGGAAAGUAGAAUGCUUCUGCUACAUAAAUAUGGGCUGUUUUUGACAAUUCAAUGCAUAUAUAUCGGGUACUAGCAUCAUUAAGUCAUGCUAAAUAACUGAAAUCUUCACAAUUUUAGCAUUUUAGUUAAAUUUUAGACGGUUUCUGCAUUCGUGUUCAUUCAUAAUAUUAAAUUGUAAGUUGUAUUUGAUGAUAUUACAGAACAUAUAUAAAGGUUGAGUAUGAACAUGGAUGCGGCCACUUUCAAUUUUGACAAAACCCAUCUGAAAAAUGAAGUUUUUUGGCAUAUUUGGUAGAUUUUUCAUAUUGAAGCUUGAAUCGGAGCGUUUUUAAUGACUAAAUUAGUUAAAAUCGUUCACAUAACUAAUUGAAUCAAUUUAAAUAGACACUUAAGUGUUUAAAAAAUGUCCAAAAUCUUUCAUUAGAUGAACCUGAAAUUUGAGGCCAAAAUCGGCCCUUACCUGGCCUUGCAGUCAUAAAACUUUCGAGCACUAUUUUUGUACUCAGACUCAAGAAUCAACCAAUCAAAAUGCUUGAUUUCAUGUUUCGAGCAUGAUUUUUGUGCUCCGAGCACUGAGCAAAGUUUUAUGACUUCAACCCGCAGACCUACUCCUUUGAAUACAGAAAACUUACAUAUUCAUAUUCAAAACCCCAAAUAAUUAAGGAUGUUCGCUACUCUGUUAAAAAAUAACAAGCUUUUUAAAAGACUAUUAUGAAUUGAUAGUAUAUUAAUAAAGAAACUCAAAAGUAGAAAAAAAUGGAGGGUUCC
rnacentral:lncRNA from 1 species